rnacentral:rRNA from 1 species
UACGUAGGGCGCGAGCGUUGUCCGGAUUUAUUGGGCGUAAAGAGCUCGUAGGCGGCUCGUUGCGUCGGCUGUGAAAACCCGCAGCUCAACUGUGGGCUUGCAGCUGAUACGGGCGGGCUUGGAUUCGGUAGGGGAGACUGGAAUUCCUGGUGUAGCGGUGAAAUGCGCAGAUAUCAGGAGGAACACCGGUGGCGAAGGCGGGUCUCUGGGCCGAUAUCGACGCUGAGGAGCGAAAGCGUGGGGAGCGAACAGG